AAACUGGACGCCACAGCCUCAGGAGUUGGAGGGGGUUCAGGCUAGGAGCACUCUUUCGCGCCCGGUUUGUUUACUGUGGGGAAGAAGUUUAGCAUCCGGUGAGAACAAGGAGGGAGGCCAGGAGGAGGAUGCAGCUUGGCCGGGGCGCCCGCUGCAGGAGCUCGCCGCCGCCUCAGCCUCGGCCCCCGGGGCCUCCGAGGGUCCGCCCGCCGCCCCUCGUGUCCGGAUAUGAACCAUAUGUAAACACCAUGAAGAGAGAGGGGGAGUGUGAAACAAUUCCAAAACAUUUUACCAGGCAUGCAAUACAUACAUAUAAUCCCUGCACUCCAGGACUAAAGGUCAACACCAGCCUCACCAAGAAGAGAUUGCCUCACAACAAUACAAGGUACAUCUUAUGUUCCUUUUCUUUCAAAUCAUUCCUGCUGAAGUAAGACUUUUCCAGCUACAGCAUUAAAACCCUUGCCUAUACAUGUUGUCAAAAACAACUAAAGUAUGUCUUUACAUUUCCCACCUACUAUAAUAUCCACUCAAGUUCAACUUGCCUAAUAUCACUCUCUUUCCAAGCCCACGUAAACAAACUGCUUUGAUGGCACUAUGCAUAUCAGAUAACAAUUAUUCAUCUAUCUACAGGUCAUUGUUACCUACACUCUAAGUUCUUAACUACAUAGUUAAGUCUAGAACUUAGUAUCUGAUAGUGAGUCUUUUAAAAAAGACUUUAAAUUAGUA
ensembl:lncRNA